CUUUAACGGAAAGGAACAAAUGCAGGCUUAUGAUGCGUUUCCCUCAGUUUUAGUUUGUUACCCCGAUUUUGUUUUUUGUCCAUAGAUUUAUGACUUUUGAACAGCGGUAUACUACUGUUGCCUUUAUUUAGGGCUGUUCCAGAGUUUUUAAAAACACAUUUUUUUAGGGGGGGAUGUCAUCAGAGGCACAUUUGUAAAAUCCAUACUGUCCAUAAAAUAAAAAAAAUAUUUUACUUAAAACUUUUUACAAAAUGCAACCACCCGUGUUUAAAUAAUUGAGUGCCUCCCAUUUCCUGCCUAAUCAAUCUUGAUAAAUUUUUUAACAGAUUAUUUUUUGUAAAGUUUUGAUAGUUUCCAAUUGAACCAACGAGAAUCAUGUUAUCUGAUCAUAUUCACAUUGUAAUACCAAUUCCUUUUUGAGAAAGCAGCUAUUAAAAGCUAUUUGCAAUUGCACUAACAAUCACUUUUUUGAUUCUGUUCAUUGCUCAACCACAGUUAUUGAUCAGGGAAAAAGUUUAAUAAUGUGUUAAAUGAGAUACCUAUGGGUGAUGAUAAAAAUAAAUAGAUCCUCCCUUUUCUAUUCCAAGUUUAGAUGACUAUUUGGUGGAAAAUUUUGUUUUUUUCUUUUGUAUUGGCUUGUAUCAAGGUUAAACUAAGACAUAUAUAGAAAAUGUGACAACACAUGUUUUAUCCUUGAUAUAUGAACUCCUUUUGUUUAAGUGUUAUGACUACGGGAAAAGAUAGUUAAGAAUAAGAGCGCUCUAUAGUUGCUACUGAGAAAUGGGAAUUUUAUGUUCACAAGUUCAUUUUUAUCUGCGACUCAAUGUGGAAAGCCUUUAGUUUAGACAUUAAAAUUUGUGGGUAAACAGUAGCCAGUGAUGAAAAUGAGAUUGUAUUUAUUGUAUCAGAAGACAUAUAUAGUACUCCAGAUAGGAAAGUCGCAUUAAAGUCUUGUGUUUGUUUUGAUAUGAUUUCCCAAAAAACUUGUUAUAAACCAUACAAAAGAGUCAACACUCAUUACCAGAAAACUCAAAAUGUCAACAAUAUCGAGA
rnacentral:lncRNA from 1 species